UACGAAGGGGGGCUAGCGUUGCUCGGAAUUACUGGGCGUAAAGCGCACGUAGGCGGCUUGUUAAGUCGGGUGUGAAAUCCCCAGGCUCAACCUGGGAACUGCAUUCGAUACGAGCAAACUAGAGUGUUGCAGGGGAGACUGGAAUUCCUGGUGUAGCGGUGAAAUGCGCAGAUAUCAGGAGGAACACCGGUGGCGAAGGCGGGUCUCUGGGCAACAACUGACGCUGGAGGAGCGAAAGCGUGGGGAGCGAACAGG
rnacentral:rRNA from 1 species